UCUUCAUAGAACCUACGGAAUGGGAAAGAACAUUUGCAAGCUAUGCAGAUGACAAAGUUGUAAUAUCUAGACUCUAUAAGGAACUUAACAAGCAAAAAACAAACAACCCCAUUAAAAAGUGGGCAAAGGACAUGGACUAAACUUUGAAUGCAUAUGGACACAAUGAAGGGAAAAACAGACACCAAGGCCUACUUGAAGGUCGGGGUUGGGAGGAGGGGGAGAAUCAAAAUACUACCUAUCGAGUACUAUGUUUAUUACUUGGGUGACAAAACUAUCUGUACACCAAACCCCUGUGACACACAAUUUAUUUAUAUGACAAACCUACACAUUUACCCGGGCAACAAAUCUAAUGGACAAAAAAGCAUAAGUGACAUCUCAAAUCUACAGAUGGUGUUCCUCUAGAAUCUUCAUAAAUCACUCAUUAUUUUGAAGUUUUAAUAUAGGAAGGUGGCUAUCAUACACUCAAAUGACUCCAUUAUAGAUUUUCUCUUUCUAGCUGCAAUAGCUCAUUCAAAAAUUACACAUGCCAACCAAUUUAGAAAACGUAUACAUAUUAUUCCUCUUAAAAUUACUAUAAAUAGAUAUAGCCUUUACUAUAACUAUAUAUCUGUACAUUUUAUACGGACAACUUAGGGAACUGCUAGGCUCAGGUAAAUUCAUCACGUGCAUGUUUAGAUGUUUAUU
rnacentral:lncRNA from 1 species